AACGCACAUUGCGCCUUCUGGUAUUCCGGGAGGCAUGCUUGUUUGAGUAUCAGUAAACACCUCGACUUUUUUCCCUCUCUCAUAGAUGUGGGGGGUGGGUUCAAGUUGGACUUGAGCAGUUUCCAAACUUCCUCAAAUUUGAGGAGUGUGCGGAAUGCUUAAAAUGCAGGUGCAGCUGGGGAUUCCCCAUUUCAUUGUCCUAGGCUACAAGCAUUUCUGCUUAAUCCCGUCAAACCGGAUUAUACCUUUUUGCUGCAGCCAAACGAUAGUUGGGCCCGAAACGCUGACUGAUGCAGGAUGUAUGACACAGAUUUCGAUCUUUGUCUGUUCCACUCGAUCUCAAAUCAAGUAAGACUACCCGCUGAACUUAA
rnacentral:misc_RNA from 1 species